rnacentral:misc_RNA from 1 species
ACUCAAUUAUCUUAUACAGCUCAAAAGCAUGAAUAUGUAUUAGAUGAAUUCGUCAAUUUUACCAUAUUGUUGCAUAAAUAUAUCAGAAAAAUAUUUAAGCUAUGAUGGGGACAAGUAGAAAAGGAUUGCUGAAGCUUUACUCAGUGUAAUAUAAUAGUGACUUAGCUUCCAAGAAAAGUCAUUUUAUUCUGAACUGCUGUGAAGGCAUAUAUCAGUAGUGG